CUAUCAGUCGGUUUCGUUAUUACAGGCAUGUAAGCAAUUUCAGUUAAUUGUAUCCCAUUAGCAGUUAAUUGAGUAGCGUGGCUGGAGAACAACGCGUGGCUGGAGGAACAAUUGAAAAAUGGAUAAGAUAAUAAAACAAAAAAAUGAUCAAAUUAUGAAGCUGCAGGCCCAGUUAUUGGAACAACACAAAAUAUUAGAUAAUAAAGCUAAGGAUCGUAGGCCUAACACGUAAUGAUUCUAUUUAUUUGCUUUUAUUCAUUCGUGUUUUGUAGCUCAAAUUUUGAGUCUUCAAGCUCAGCUAGGGGAAAAGAACAAAUUGGAACGGAACAGUUUCCAAACAGUGAAGGAGGUUUUUCAAAACUCAUCUCUAACUGAACGUGAGGAUGAGUUGGCAUUAGGCGAACACAGCCAGUUAUUCAGUCCACCACCUGACAGUGUGUUAAAUUUAAAUUCUGUUAGUGCUGCACUAAAAGAAUCGUUAGUAAUAAGCUCAUGCAGUGAAGGAACUGAACAAUUGUGGGAACGUAUUUGGGCCGAAAAUGGGUGUGGUACAGAAACCCAGAAAUGGCACAAGUUCAACAUGAAACAUGGAUUAGAUUUUAACGGGGGAUCAAAUCAAGUCUGGAAGUGUUACAGGAUGGAAGAGUGAGCCUACAGAUGAAAAAACACUGAGAGUGCAUUACCGUAAGGUGUGAGGUAAAUUAAUAGAGUAAUGCAAAUUGCCUAAUGAGAAGUACCAUCUUGUGUUAAUGAAUCCAGUACAACAGCAAUCCUUUAUAGUUCUGUCACAGCUAGAAGCCUCAAAUAAUUCUGCUUCUCUGUCUAAAGAACAACUUGUCCUUUACGUUCAGAGUGUUGGGGAAACUGGGUACUUAAAUGGCCCUAAAGAUGUUUUAAUUUUGCUGCUAUUGCAGAGAUGAACAUCAUACAUGGACUCUUUAGGUCUUAUCUACCAAAAAAAAUUUUAUCCAAUAGGAAAGGAUUUUCAUGUACUGGGAACACAACUAUCAACAAUGCAACAUUCUACAGGUGCUAGUUUAUCAUUCAAGAGCCUUAUACAAUGAAGUUAAUCUGCAAUUUGUAUGUCCUUUCCCAAGCUUCCACCAGAAGUUGAAUCUAUGAGUCAUGUAAGUUCCAUGAUCAACAAUUGAUGUGUUUAACGGUGUUGUUUUUCUUUUCUCAAUAUAGGUUAAUAGUAACAUUGGAUCUGAAAAGAUUCUUGGUUGGGGCAAGACACUGAAUAAAUUGUAUUGAUUGGAUGGAUGACAUGACAUUGCUAUACUUAAUUCGGAUUCCCCAGACGGUAUUUGAUAUUUAAAAAAUUGAAGUGCAUAUCUGGGCUCCCUUCUUUUCUGAAGCCCCGUUUCCCCUUGACUCAUAAUAAGCCCGUAGGGGGUCAUGCCCCUACUGUACGGUAUAUAUAAAAACAACAUAUACCGAGGUUUGGAGGGCUCUGGCCGGAAAGGGGACGUGGGGUGCCGCUUAGUCCGAUGAUGUGUUCACGGAGGGUGACGUGGCUGCCCACAAAUCCGAACUAAAGGUUAAUCGCUCCUGUAAAAAUGUUCCAAAUCUUCAGCUCUUCUUCCGGCUUCUCUUAGCCAAUCACCGGGUAAUCUCCCCGGUGGGUCAACAAGGCAGUGUCUCCCCCUGCCUGGGUUGACGGCAACUUUUGAAAGGGCUAUUGUGCCUUUUUAAAGUUGCAAAAAU